rnacentral:misc_RNA from 1 species
GUACAUUAGUGCUUGCGCACGACAAUAAUUUCAUUACAUUCGAGUGGGUGUAAAAAAUCCUCUGCCAGCCAAAGCUAGCAAGAGGCCAAAGGUUCACAGGGGUAUUGGAUGAAAAGCCGCCAACGUGCACUUGCCAGAGCUGGCCAGCACUGAAGACAACGAUUCGCAAUCAUUAAUGAUCCUUCCGCAGGUUCACCUACGGAAA